AGAUAGCAGCUGAGGUUUGAGUCAUCUGGAAGCUCACCUGGGCUGGACAUUCAAGAUGGCAUCUUCACUCAUAUCUCUGGCCCCUCCUUGAUUUUCCAUUUCAUUGGGAUUUUACUAAAUGAAAUGUAGCCUCUCUCUCUGUGCAACAGAGCGUUCUGGACUUUAGUGUCUCAGGACUCUAAGAGAAAGGAAGAGGAAACUGCCAGUUGACUUAAAGAUUAAUUCUGGAAUUGGCUGGUAUCAUUUCAGCUGUAUUCUCUUGGUUAAAUUAAUCAUAGGCCAAUCCCAAGGGAGUGAUAGAUUCCACCUUUAAUGAAGGAAUGGCAUGAAGUUUAUAUGAAGGGAAGAAGUUGAUGUAGUCAUCUUUGACACAGAGGUUAAGGAAUUCAAUUUCCGAGCCAAAUGUAUCUAUACUGCAGUGAUGGUGCGAAGAGUUAUUCUGGCCCAAGGAGAUAAUAAAGUUGACGACAGAGAUUAUUAUGGUAACAAGCGACUGGAAUUGGCAGGACAGCUUUUAUCUCUUCUUUUUGAAGACUUGUUCAAAAAAUUUAAUUCUGAAAUGAAAAAGAUUGCCGACCAGGU
rnacentral:lncRNA from 10 species